UUUAUUAGGGUUCAAAUUAUCCUUUUCCAUGUGAAUUGUAUGCUUUCCAAGUUAAUAAGUAGCCAAUUGUAAUUGAGAAUUUUACACUUAGGAUGAAUGAGUAUAGUGCCAUGUGAAUCCUAGUGGUACAAAAACUAGGACAAACUAGUUGUAUAUAUGGACAUAGAAAAUAUAGUGAAACACUAGGCAUUAUUGUGAGUGUUAAUGUAAGGACUGAGAUUUUGACAGUGCAACUAAAUUCUCUGUUGACGAUGUUUAGGUGUGUAAUUUAAUUACAAAAGCACUCGUUAAGUUUCAGGAGAAACCGAGUUAGAAUGGAGAAUUUACGCGAUUAUUAGUUUUCACUUAAAGUGAAUAGUAACCUGGUUUUUCGGUGAAGCCACGGAGUAGAGUUGGCUUUCGGCGCGUAUCGGACUCCGUUCAUAGCGAUCCAAUAGCUCGUUUCGACCGGUUCAGCUAUUCUGGAACCAAUGGCACUAACGGAUUUUAGAUCUAAUGCACGGUUUUCGAGAAAAAGGGAAUUUAUCGAAAAGAGGGUUUUCGCUUUUUGCUGUUCUUGCAUAAUGAGACUCCUUGUGCUUUGUGUAUGUGACCUAGAGUAAGGUGAGGGAUGUUACAUGUACCUACUAGUGGUAGGAGAUUCAAAUUUGAAUUUGAAUCUAGGAUUUAGUGGGAUUACACAUUGGUUUAUGUGUGUGGUUUUUGGAAAUUGAAGAGCGGACGGGUUUCGUCGCGAAUCCGUGACCGAUCGAUGUGAACCAAAAUCUUAGGUUUAUUGUCCCCGUCGUGCUGAACGCGAUGGAGCAAUCCGUUCGGAAUUCUGAUGAACGGAUUGCCGGAUAUCGCAUGAUGUUCGAAAAGGGGUCUAAAGUGAUGACUAAUUGGAAUUUUCGCAAAAGUCCCCAUAUUUUAUGUACCGAAUCGCGCGAAAUCAAACGUGGAGGUG
rnacentral:lncRNA from 1 species